AGAUCGAAUGUUAUUAGUCUGAUUUUAUCAGUUGAUUCAGUGCAGUCGUAAGAAAAUGAAGUUUCUGUGGCUAUUGAGCAUUUUGUUAGUAAUGAUGUUUUCAAGUUCUGUGAACUGUAGCUAUUGGUGUUGGAUGCUAGAUUUAAAUUCUAGCCCUUGCAGAUGCAAACAGGUUGAACUGAGCCAAGGUUGUCUAAGAUAUGGAGUUUAUCAAGACCAGAAUUCGUGUCAGAAUAGAGCGUGCGCUGGUCGCAAUUAGCAAAAGGGUGACAGAAUGCUUUUCAAGGAAGGGGAUAGAAUUAGUUCACUUUGGUUUGCAAAAUAUCAGCAAUGUAAUAUUGUGAAUGAACCGUAAUAAACGUACAAGAGAGUUGUGUUUAUUUUUUCAGUUA